rnacentral:rRNA from 1 species
UACGUAGGGUCCGAGCGUUGUCCGGAAUUACUGGGCGUAAAGCGUGCGCAGGCGGUUUUGUAAGCCAGAUGUGAAAUCCCCGGGCUUAACCUGGGAAUGGCAUUUGGGACUGCAAGGCUCGAGUGCGGCAGAGGAGACUGGAAUUCCUGGUGUAGCAGUGAAAUGCGUAGAUAUCAGGAGGAAUACCGAUGGCGAAGGCAGGUCUCUGGGCUGACACUGACGCUCAUGCACGAAAGCGUGGGGAGCAAACAGG